CGAUAGCCGCCACCAGAAGCAGUGCUCGCUAGGUCCGGUGCUGGCGUUUGGCUGUGCCUCCACAUUGGUAUUCUCCUUCCUUGCAGCUUUCUGCGCGGCGUGCUGCUGCGAGCACCGACUCGGCACACAAACAUUCAGAAAUUUAGUCCCCACCUCCAUGUCGAAGCCGCGGCGGGACGUCAACAAGGUGCAGAUCGGCUACCACCGCGCCGAGAACACCGAGACGGUGAGCUCGCCGCAUACGUAUGCCUACAGCAGUGGUAAGAGCGUUCCGUCCACCACCAAACCGGAUAAACCGACGGUGUCGAAUAUCCGCAUCGCGUCUGCCGUCGCCGGGCUGCCGCCGUCGCGCUUUGCAGCGAAUGCGCCCGUGAAGCGGGAGAAGAACGACGAGGAGUCAGAGAGCGCUACCGCCGCAGCAAGCAGCGCGUCAUCGUCGUUGUUGCAUGGCGCGGCGAGCGAGGCGCGGACGACCGUGGACGGGUUCCCGUGGUCGACGCGGCGGGUGGAGCGGAUGUCGUUCGAGAUGCAGAACGUGAGUCCUCCCAUUUCGAACCUGUUCCGUCGUGUGCUGACGACGGAGGUGCCGACGCUGGCAUUCGACCGCGUUUUGAUCGAAGAAAACGAUAGCCCGGUGCUGGACGAGCUACUGUCGCACCGCCUCGGCCUUGUCCCGGUGGCGGGUCCGGUAAUGAAGAUGCACUACAUCACCGAGAGCAACCAGGCAAGCUUUAGCAACCUGGACCCGAGCCGCGUGCUGCUGUUUGAGCUGGACGCCACGGGCGCCAAGGAUGCGGCGGUGACGCCGGUGUAUAGCCGCCAGCUGCAGUGGGUGCCGCUGCCGGGGCAGGAUAAGAAGACCGGCGCUGUGGCGGGCGCUUGCCAAACGGGGCGCGAGGAGUAUGCCGGCGCAGCAGGGGCGACGGAGCACAGCGCAGACGACGAUGAUGACGCGGUGUUCCUCGUGCAUCCUGAUAUCCUGCUCAGCAAGCUAGGCCCUGGCCAGCGUAUCAAGCUCAAGGCGAUCGCUGUGAAGGGCCUCGGUGCGGUGCACGCCAAGUGGAGCCCAGUGUCGGCGUGCUACUACGAGAUGAAGACCUCCGUCGAGCUCUGUGAGCGGCUGACUGGCUCGGCGGCCGAGGCGCUCGUGAAGUCCUGUCCCGCUGGUGUUUUCGGCUACGAAGGUGGCCAAAAGGGUGCGGCAGCGACUGUCGUAGCGCCGGAGAAGUGUACCCUGUGCCGCGAGUGCCUCCGCAGCGACGACAAGGGUGCUGAGGCCGCCGCCAGCGAGGGAGACCGAGUUCGUGUGCAGAAGGAGAAGACACACGUCCUCUUUCACAUUGAGAGCGUGGGCCAGCUGCAUCCGGCACAGAUUCUGCGCUUCGGCCUCCGUCUCUUCGCUGAGCGCUGCCGGGCGCUCGCGGAGAUGGUGCAGUCGACGGAGGUGCGCGUGGCGGAUGCGAGCGCCAAGUCGCUGGAGCUUUGAGGCCGAGAAGAAGCGAGCACGCGGAGGGGUUCUGGCGGCAAAAGCGAAGCAGAGGAAUGGCAAGGACGAGUGGCACAGGCGCUGGGCUCGGCUUACCACCGCAUCCGUCGCCCCCCCCCUCUCUCUCUCCUCCUCCCCCUCUUCUGCGUGUCCUCGUCACGCCGUGGCAGCGCUGCCUUCUGCGCCAUGGCAUCCCUGCCUGUUGCUCUUUCUAACGCGUAAGUGUCUUGUUUUUUUUGUUUCUUUCGGUCGGAAUGGAGGAGGGGGAGGGCGGGGAUGUGUGUGAAGUGUGCGUGGUGUGUGUUUGUGUGUGUGUGUGUGUGAGCGAGCGGGCGUCUUUCUUCCCUCGCCCGCACCCCCCCCCACACACACACCUUCGCUCCGCUUCACCCGCCAAACCCCACUCGCGCUCGUCGUCUCUUCCUUCUGUCCCUCUUUGUUCCUCGCGUAAAGAAUCACACGUACAUGCGUGAAAGG
rnacentral:misc_RNA from 1 species